UACGAAGGUCCCAAGCGUUGUUCGGAAUCACUGGGCGUAAAGGGAGCGUAGGCGGACAUUUAAGUCAGAUGUGAAAUACCCGAGCUUAACUUGGGUGCUGCAUUUGAAACUGGGUGUCUAGAGUGCAGGAGAGGUAAGUGGAAUUCCUAGUGUAGCGGUGAAAUGCGUAGAGAUUAGGAAGAACACCAGUGGCGAAGGCGACUUACUGGACUGUAACUGACGCUGAGGCAUGAAAGCGUGGGGAGCAAACAGG
rnacentral:rRNA from 1 species